AGAGUUUGAUCCUGGCUCAGGACGAACGCUGGCGGCGUGCCUAAUACAUGCAAGUAGAACGCUGAAGAGAGGAGCUUGCUCUUCUUGGAUGAGUUGCGAACGGGUGAGUAACGCGUAGGUAACCUGCCUUGUAGCGGGGGAUAACUAUUGGAAACGAUAGCUAAUACCGCAUAACAAUGGAUGACACAUGUCAUUUAUUUGAAAGGGGCAAUUGCUCCACUACAAGAUGGACCUGCGUUGUAUUAGCUAGUAGGUGAGGUAAUGGCUCACCUAGGCGACGAUACAUAGCCGACCUGAGAGGGUGAUCGGCCACACUGGGACUGAGACACGGCCCAGACUCCUACGGGAGGCAGCAGUAGGGAAUCUUCGGCAAUGGGGGCAACCCUGACCGAGCAACGCCGCGUGAGUGAAGAAGGUUUUCGGAUCGUAAAGCUCUGUUGUAAGUCAAGAACGGGUGUGAGAGUGGAAAGUUCACACUGUGACGGUAGCUUACCAGAAAGGGACGGCUAACUACGUGCCAGCAGCCGCGGUAAUACGUAGGUCCCGAGCGUUGUCCGGAUUUAUUGGGCGUAAAGCGAGCGCAGGCGGUUUGAUAAGUCUGAAGUUAAAGGCUGUGGCUCAACCAUAGUUCGCUUUGGAAACUGUCAAACUUGAGUGCAGAAGGGGAGAGUGGAAUUCCAUGUGUAGCGGUGAAAUGCGUAGAUAUAUGGAGGAACACCGGUGGCGAAAGCGGCUCUCUGGCUUGUAACUGACGCUGAGGCUCGAAAGCGUGGGGAGCAAACAGGAUUAGAUACCCUGGUAGUCCACGCCGUAAACGAUGAGUGCUAGGUGUUGGAUCCUUUCCGGGAUUCAGUGCCGCAGCUAACGCAUUAAGCACUCCGCCUGGGGAGUACGACCGCAAGGUUGAAACUCAAAGGAAU
rnacentral:rRNA from 1 species